rnacentral:tRNA from 2 species
GUCGGGAUAGCUCAGCUGUAGAGCA